CGUGGGCGUAGCUCAGGUGGUAGAGUGCUCGCUUAGCAUGCGAGAGGUACGGGGAUCAAUACACCGUGUCUCGA